rnacentral:lncRNA from 1 species
GAGCAUAAAAAGAACAAAAGAAACAGACCACCCAUUGUAGAACAAACAUAGCAGAGAAAAGAGGCUCAGAUUCGAUCUACCAGAAAAAGAAAAAAAGAAGGCUAAUCCACCAUGACUGAAAAAGCAUAUGCCUUUGUGAGAGCAUAUGAGAACCCACCUCACAGAUACUGCUGCCUCUGCCUAGCAAAGAUGAAUCAGCUAUAAACUCCAACUUUCAAGCUUCCUGGAAUAUCACCAUAGCCUC